CCUACGGGUGGCAGCAGUGGGGGAUAUUGCACAAUGGGGGAAACCCUGAUGCAGCGACGCCGCGUGUGGGAAGACGGUCCUCUGGAUUGUAAACCACUGUCCCCAGGGACGAAGAUGACGGUACCUGGGGAGGAAGCUCCGGCUAACUACGUGCCAGCAGCCGCGGUAAUACGUAGGGAGCGAGCGUUAUCCGGAUUUACUGGGUGUAAAGGGAGCGUAGACGGCAAUACAAGUCGGAAGUGAAAUACCCGGGCUUAACCUGGGAACUGCUUUGGAAACUGUAUGGCUGGAGUGCUGGAGAGGUAAGCGGAAUUCCUAGUGUAGCGGUGAAAUGCGUAGAUAUUAGGAGGAACACCAGUGGCGAAGGCGGCUUACUGGACAGUAACUGACGUUGAGGCUCGAAAGCGUGGGGAGCAAACAGGAUUAGAUACCCGUGUA
rnacentral:rRNA from 1 species